CGGACAAAGCAAUCCUCAGUCUCUCAAGUCAGAAGCUGGCUUCCAAUUAUCUUCUACCUUUUACAGCACUGAGAGUACGAGUUCAGAGAGAGAAAAGCGGAAAAAGAAAAGGAACAAGAAAGGUCUACUGACAAAUAUCCAAGCAGGGAACCCAGAUGAUCCUUUCCAUAAUCUAGAUAUGUCCAUAUGUCAAACCAGAUCAAACAUAUGUCCAUAAAAGUAUUCCUUCAAUUUUGGAAGAAAGUUGGUGCCAAGUCUAGAUGUAUGGCAAAUGGGGUGAAGCUUGUGAUGACCUUCUUUCAUCUGAUACUUCUUUUCUGGAUCAUAACGAUGAGUCUUAUUUCAUUGGUCAUCAUGAUGCUGUGGAGAAAUUCCUCAUCUUCAUUCCUGCAGUGUGACAAUUGUUUGCAAAUUUCAACUUUUGAACCUUUCAUCUCUGCCUGAGCAUGGAUUGGAACACAUCUUACACAAAGAAAAUCAACAAUGUGAUCCACACACUUCUGUGAGAUUCUAGGCCUGGCAGCAAUUUUCCUUUGAGUGAACCACCAAUUGUCCUUAAUCAGUUGAUCAACCUUUCUCAUGUGAAACUUAUUGUUUGCUGUCACGGCUUCUUGAUCACACAAACCAACACUUCCUGGUUCACCAUCUUUGCCAUUUUUUUUAUCCCAGCAAUGCACACCACUUAAUCACACAGCCACCAUCACAAACAACCUGCAUUCAGAGACGACUUCAGCAGUCAAAAAUUCAGUUAUGAUGCCUUGUUAGAGCACACUGAUGAGUAUUUACUACAGACUUCCAGUUCACAAACACUUUUCUCCUACCAAGUGAAGUGGAAGAACAGGUGUUAAAGAAAAUGCCAGAGCUUCUAGUGCAGUGGUUCUCAACCUUCCUAAUGCUGCGACCCCGCAACCGGUCAUAAGUCAAGGACUACCUGU